CCUACGGGGGGCAGCAGUGGGGAAUAUUGCACAAUGGGGGAAACCCUGAUGCAGCGACGCCGCGUGAGUGAAGAAGUAUCUCGGUACGUAAAACUCUAUCAGCAGGGAAGAAAAUGACGGUACCUGACUAAGAAGCCCCGGCUAACUACGUGCCAGCAGCCGCGGUAAGAAGUAGGGGGCAAGCGUUAUCCGGAUUUACUGGGGGUAAAGGGAGCGUAGACGGCAGCACAAGUCUGGAGUGAAAGCCCGGGGCUUAACCCCGGAACGGCUUUGGAAACUGUGCGGCUGGAGUGCAGGAGGGGUAAGCGGAAUUCGUGGUGUAGCGGUGAAAUGCGUGGAUAUUAGGAGGAACACCGGUGGCGAAGGCGGCUUACUGGACUGUAACUGACGUUGAGGCUCGAAAGCGUGGGGAGCAAACAGGAUUAGAUACCCGAGUAGUC
rnacentral:rRNA from 1 species